rnacentral:rRNA from 1 species
GAUGAACGCUGGCGGCGUGCCUAAUACAUGCAAGUCGAGCGAACAGACGAGGAGCUUGCUUCUCUGAUGUUAGCGGCGGACGGGUGAGUAACACGUGGAUAACCUACCUAUAAGACUGGGAUAACUUCGGGAAACCGGAGCUAAUACCGGAUAAUAUUUUGAACCGCAUGGUUCAAAAGUGAAAGACGGUCUUGCUGUCACUUAUAGAUGGAUCCGCGCUGCAUUAGCUAGUUGGUAAGGUAACGGCUUACCAAGGCAACGAUGCAUAGCCGACCUGAGAGGGUGAUCGGCCACACUGGAACUGAGACACGGUCCAGACUCCUACGGGAGGCAGCAGUCGGGAAUCUUCCGCAAUGGGCGAAAGCCUGACGGAGCAACGCCGCGUGAGUGAUGAAGGUCUUCGGAUCGUAAAACUCUGUUAUUAGGGAAGAACAUAUGUGUAAGGAACUGUGCACAUCUUGACGGUACCUAAUCAGAAAGCCACGGCUAACUACGUG